rnacentral:rRNA from 1 species
UACGUAGGGGGCAAGCGUUUGUCCGGAUUUAUUGGGCGUAAAGAGCGUGUAGGCGGUCAGGUAGGUCCGUUGUGAAAACUCGAGGCUCAACCUCGAGACGCCGAUGGAAACCAUCUGACUAGAGUCCGGAAGAGGAGAGUGGAAUUCCUGGUGUAGCGGUGAAAUGCGCAGAUAUCAGGAGGAACACCCCGUGGCGAAAGCGGCUCUCUGGG